UUGGAUUGGAUUUAAUGGUUAGGCCACAGCACUCUCACCGCUGUGGCCCGGGUUCGAUUCCUGGCCAAG